CCUACGGGAGGCAGCAGUGGGGAAUAUUGGGCAAUGGGCGCAAGCCUGACCCAGCAACGCCGCGUGAAGGAAGAAGGCUUUCGGGUUGUAAACUUCUUUUCUCAGGGACGAAGUAAGUGACGGUACCUGAGGAAUAAGCCACAGCAACCUACGUGCCAGCAGCCGCGUUAAUACGUAGGGAGGAGGCGUUACCCGGAUUUACUGGGUGUAAAGGGCGUGUAGGGGGGGAAGCAAGUCAGAUGUGAAAACCACGGGCUCAACCUGGGGCCUGCAUUUGAAACUGUUGUUCUUGAGUGCGGGAGAGGCAGACGGAAUUCGUGGUGUAGCGGUGAAAUGCGUAGAGAUUAGGAAGAACACCAGUGGCGAAGGCGGUAUGCUGGACAGCGACUGACGCUGAGGCGCGAAAGCGUGGGGAGCGAACAGGAUUAGAUACCCGUGUAGUC
rnacentral:rRNA from 1 species